rnacentral:rRNA from 1 species
UACGGGGGGGGCAAGCGUUGUUCGGAAUUACUGGGCGUAAAGGGCUCGUAGGCGGCCAACUAAGUCGGAUGUGAAAUCCCCAGGCUCAACUUGGGAACUGCAUCCGAUACUGGAUGGCUUGAGUUCGGGAGAGGGAUGCAGAAUUCCAGGUGUAGCGGUGAAAUGCGUAGAUAUCUGGAGGAAUACCGGUGGCGAAGGCGGCAUCCUGGACCGACAUUGACGCUGAGGAGCGAAAGCUAGGGGAGCAAACGGG